rnacentral:lncRNA from 1 species
UGUUUUUGUUUUUUUAUUAAAAUGUAACAUGCAGUGGUCACAUAUACUUCUCUUCUCUCUUCAGAUGCAGUUUUAAAAUAUUUCACCAGCAGAGUGACACAGCAUCAGGUGCUCCUGUCCUCUACCUCAGCACAGCAGAGUGACACAGCAUCAGGUGCUCCUGUCCUCUACCUCAGCACAGCAGAGUGACACAGCAUCAGGUGCUCCUGUCCUCUACCUCAGCACAGCAGAGUGACACAGCAUCAGGUGCUCCUGUCCUCUACCUCAGCACAGCAGAGAGACACAGCAUCAGGUGCUCCUGUCCUCUACCUCAGCACAGCAGAGACACAGCAUCAGGUGCUCCUGUCCUCUACCUCAGCACAGCAGAGAGACACAGCAUCAGGUGCUCCUGUCCUCUACCUCAGCACAGCAGAGUGACACAGCAUCAGGUGCUCCUGUCCUCUACCUCAGCACAGCAGAGUGACACAGCAUCAGGUGCUCCUGUCCUCUACCUCAGCACAGCAGAGAGACACAGCAUCAGGUGCUCCUGUCCUCUACCUCAGCACAGCAGAGUGACACAGCAUCAGGUGCUCCUGUCCUCUACCUCAGCACAGCAGAGUGACACAGCAUCAGGUGCUCCUGUCCUCUACCUCAGCACAGCAGAGACACAGCAUCAGGUGCUCCUGUCCUCUACCUCAGCACAGCAGAGAGACACAGCAUCAGGUGCUCCUGUCCUCUACCUCAGCACAGCAGAGAGACACAGCAUCAGGUGCUCCUGUCCUCUACCUCAGACACAGCAUCAGGUGCUCCUGUCCUCUACCUCAGCACAGCAGAGUGACACAGCAUCAGGUGCUCCUGUCCUCUACCUCAGCACAGCAGAGAGACACAGCAUCAGGUGCUCCUGUCCUCUACCUCAGCACAGCAGAGAGACACAGCAUCAGGUGCUCCUGUCCUCUACCUCAGCACAGCAGAGUGACACAGCAUCAGGUGCUCCUGUCCUCUACCUCAGCACAGCAGAGAGACACAGCAUCAGGUGCUCCUGUCCUCUACCUCAGCACAGCAGAGAGACACAGCAUCAGGUGCUCCUGUCCUCUACCUCAGCACAGCAGAGAGACACAGCAUCAGGUGCUCCUGUCCUCUACCUCAGCACACAGCAUCAGGUGCUCCUGUCCUCUACCUCAGCACAGCAGAGUGACACAGCAUCAGGUGCUCCUGUCCUCUACCUCAGCACAGCAGAGAGACACAGCAUCAGGUGCUCCUGUCCUCUACCUCAGCACAGCAGAGAGACACAGCAUCAGGUGCUCCUGUCCUCUACCUCAGUACAGCAGAGUGACACAGCAUCAGGUGCUCCUGUCCUCUACCUCAGCACAGCAGAGAGACACAGCAUCAGGUGCUCCUGUCCUCUACCUCAGCACAGCAGAGAGACACAGCAUCAGGUGCUCCUGUCCUCUACCUCAGCACAGCAGAGAGACACAGCAUCAGGUGCUCCUGUCCUCUACCUCAGCACAGCAGACACAGCAGAGAGACACAGCAUCAGGUGCUCCUGUCCUCUACCUCAGCACAGCAGAGAGACACAGCAUCAGGUGCUCCUGUCCUCUACCUCAGCACAGCAGAGUGGACACAGCAUCAGGUGCUCCUGUCCUCUACCUCAGCACAGCAGAGUAGACACAGCAUCAGGUGCUCCUGUCCUCUACCUCAGCACAGCAGAGUGACACAGCAUCAGGUGCUCCUGUCCUCUACAGCACAGCAGAGAGUGACACAGCAUCAGGUGCUCCUGUCCUCUACCUCAGCACAGCAGAGACACAGCAUCAGGUGCUCCUGUCCUCUACCUCAGCACAGCAGAGUGACACAGCAUCAGGUGCUCCUGUCCUCUACCUCAGCAGCAGAGUGACACAGCAUCAGGUGCUCCUGUCCUCUACCUCAGCACAGCAGAGACACAGCAUCAGGUGCUCCUGUCCUCUACCUCAGCACAGAGUGACACAGCAUCAGGUGCUCCUGUCCUCUACCUCAGCACAGCAGAGAGACACAGCAUCAGGUGCUCCUGUCCUCUACCUCAGCACAGCAGAGACACAGCAUCAGGUGCUCCUGUCCUCUACCUCAGCACAGCAGAGUGACACAGCAUCAGGUGCUCCUGUCCUCUACCUCAGCACAGCAGAGAGACACAGCAUCAGGUGCUCCUGUCCUCUACCUCAGCACAGCAGAGAGACACAGCAUCAGGUGCUCCUGUCCUCUACCUCAGCACAGCAGAGUGACACAGCAUCAGGUGCUCCUGUCUCUACCUCAGCACAGCAGAGAGACACAGCAUCAGGUGCUCCUGUCCUCUACCUCAGCACAGCAGAGAGACACAGCAUCAGGUGCUCCUGUCCUCUACCUCAGCCAGCAGAGUAGACACAGCAUCAGGUGCUCCUGUCCUCUACCUCAGCACAGCAGAGAGACACAGCAUCAGGUGCUCCUGUCCUCUACCUCAGCACAGCAGAGAGACACAGCAUCAGGUGCUCCUGUCCUCUACCUCAGCACAGCAGAGUGACACAGCAUCAGGUGCUCCUGUCCUCUACCUCAGCACAGCAGAGAGACACAGCAUCAGGUGCUCCUGUCCUCUACCUCAGCACAGCAGAGAGACACAGCAUCAGGUGCUCCUGUCCUCUACCUCAGCCACAGCAGAGGAGACACAGCAUCAGG